ACAGAUGCAAUACAAAGAGUGGUGUUUUAUGCAGUGUUGUGCAAUGAAUAGCAUCUUACUCAGUAUUUUUGUGAUUUGUGAUUCGUUUGAUACAAGGAAUAAGAUAAUAUUAUUCUAAACACACACACACACAUUAAACAUAUACAUACAAUUCUUACAUUUAUUUUAUCCUUUAGGCACUUUCCUGCUUAGUUCACUUUGCUUCUACAAGGAGAUCUUUACUCAGCAAUCCAGAACAUGCCAGGUAUCUCUGUAAUCUAAUCAAAGGAGUGAAAUAAAUACUUGAAAAUCCACAGUGUUUGGACGUCUGGCAUGGCUUGUCUGCUUUGUGGGUACUUUUAUGAGGGGAAGAUGAACGUACCCUAACGCUGAUGAAGAUGAUGAACACUGAUGAAGAUAUGGAGAAUUGUCCUGUUGGGCGUUUCAGCUGUUGUCUUUGAUGGAUGCCUGCUUAACACAGUCUAAUAAUGAAAAAGUAGAACUGGCAAUUCUGUGGUUCUUGGAUCAGUCCGGCUUCAGCACAUCUCAAAGAUGUUUAUUUCUAGGUGUAUGCCCACAUUUCAGAAGUCUUAUGAGUAAGAGAUGACAACUGUGUUCUGGAAAUAUUUAUGACAAAAACCGUAUGUUGAUCAGGCUGGCAAGAGAUCUUCGAGGGAUUGCCUUUGCACUAAACACAAAGACCAGCUACACCAUGCUGUUUGACUGGAUGUAUCCUUAUUACGCUGUGACAAUACCAGCUCUGUGCACAGAGGGAUACCAGGCCCCUUGCAUUAGUUUAAUAGUAUGGCACAGUGGGGAAGAGGAAACAAAGCUAAAUGAACUAAUGUGUAAUCAGCUAAAAUUACAGCACAAUGGCAACCAUGCAGUUAACUGGGAAAGACCACAGAGAGGUCACUUUUUUUGUUAUGUCACACUACUAAUCUGGAAAACAUAUCCAAAUGGUCCCUGCCCCCGCUUUAAUCCAUAAUGUUUUUGUAAAGAGAAAGCUGUGUCUUUAAGCACAAUGUACCUAUGGUUGUUUUAACCAGAAGUGCUUUAAAAAAAAAUCCUGUACGAGUGCAAUCUGGGGGGAUUUCUCUCUGGUAUGAAUCAUGUCUUUAAUUUAGUCAGUUACUGUCUAUUUAUGUCAGCUCUAUUAAUAUCACAACACCUGCAGUCUUCCUGAUCGGAAGAAAAUGGACUUCUGAAACCAAAAUCCGAAUGUUUAGGCUGCAGCUUUCUUAGAUAUGUGAUGAUAAUGGGGCUCUAUUUGCUUUCGGUGGUGUAUAUAUUUUUGUACCAACAAAUAUGAUAAUUCUCGUGGGUAUUUUCUGAAUACUUAGAGAAAUGUUUUGUAUUUUCAUAAAUACAGUAGCCGUAAUUCUUUUUAGGCAGAGUCAUAUUAGUAAAAAAAAUACUGCAGUAUGCAGUGAAGCCACUGCAGCCAUUGGCUGUAUAAUUUAGAUCAGAGCUGUGGAAGUUAAUUUUAUGUUUAUAGUAUGUUUAUUCUGUGAACAGAAAAAAAUAACGUUCAAGUGCAGCUGCAUGUUUUAUUAGACAGGAAGCUUCUAAAAAUAUUUCAGUUAAAUAAAAAAACAUCUUUUGUUUGCUGUUUUUGAGAGGGGAAAAAUAUGCAUGAUCAGAAAUGGUGACUGGGACGUUAUCCUGAGAGGAUGACAGGCUGUAGAACUGAGCCCGAUACGAUCUGAUAGACAUCCCUGCGUGGUGGGCAGGAGGAUUGUGAUGACCAUUCAGAUAAGCCCUAUUUGAGACCUUAACAAGCUAAAAAUGAUUCUAUCCAUGUGCAGGCUCUGCUUGCAUGACACAGCUUACAGGAAAAAAAAAAACCAAAACAUCCAAACCAGAAGGCAAUAUAAUCUCUUUUUUUUUUUUUUCCUUUAAAAAAUCAAUGGAAAGCAUCACUUAAUUUCGUGUUUAGAGGACUGGAGAGGAAAAAAAAGCCAAACAAACCACUGAAGCCAGCCUGUGAAUUAGCAUCUCAUUUUCUAGUGAGCGCCAUUGGGAAUUCCAAAAUGGAGAUUUGGAGUCUUUUACCACCUCCCUUUUGUGUACAUGGGGCUGCUGAGAAGACCGAGGAGGAAGUCUGGCUUUGGAGAUGAGUUGCUCAGCUCAGUCUAUUCCCUGAAUACAUUUCUGUUCUGCAAAGAGCUAUUGGACUGUGGUACGAGGAGCCUGCGUGUACAACACCUAUAUUGAAGCUGGUGACAGAAUUCCUGCUAAAUGGGUGAUCAGAUCCUCUCUCUUGGGGCUUUGUCAGAAGAUCAGGUUUAUCUGCUGAAACUCAGGGGCAUUUCCAUUUCCAUCUGUUACUCCGCACUCAAAUCUGCCUUAUGUGGAAAUUAUAUCAGCUUUGACGUGUUGUGGGGACAACCACUUUGACAACGUACUUCAGGCCUUUGUUGAAACGCUGCUUUUCAGUAUCCCACAGUGACCUGCUAAACUGUCAUUUUCUUGCUGGAAGAGACAAAUUCUGAAUAGUUAGAGAUGGUUAAUAUCCAGAUUUGUGCCUAUUGCAAGAAGAAGAUCCUUAGAACUGGAAGAGCUUCUCUCGGUACAGUCGUCUCUUCCAGCUGUUGUGCCAGUUUAGACUACAUUGUCCCGUACCUCUUCAGGCACCCAGCUAAAGAGGGUGAGAAGGCUCUGAAGCACAGCGACUUCACAGGAUGGACAAGGGUUGAAUAAUUUCAUGCAGCAUCACCUGGAAGUGCUACAGCAGAUGAUGCCAGUCCUAAUGAACACCAUCACUUUUGAAGACUGCGGGAGCCUAUGGUAUGUGUCGAGACCACUGCUUGGACUUACACUUCUCAAUGGGAGGGGUUCUCCCAGGACAUGUUGAUAUUCCAAAGGCAGCCAUGGCCAAGGCACUGUGCAGCGAAGGGUCAGCCAAUGUGGGCAGCAUGGAUAUGAAGAACUGACAAGGACUAGGGAAAGCAGAGCUGGCUAAUGGGACUGUUCGGAAAGCUUUGGAGCCCUGGUUAUAUUGUUAGAUUUUGACCCUUGCGGAAACUAUUUGUUGAGAUAACUUCUAAAAUAAAUAUGCUUUUCUUCUUUA